AGAGUUUGAUCCUGGCUCAGGAUGAACGCUAGCUACAGGCUUAACACAUGCAAGUCGAGGGGGCAGCAUGGGAGUUGCUUGCAAUUCCUGAUGGCGACCGGCGCACGGGUGAGUAACGCGUAUCCAACCUUCCCCUUAGUAGGGCAUAGCCCGUAGAAAUGCGGAUUAAUACCCUAUGUUGUUCGUAGAUGACAUCAGAAAUGAACCAAAGACUUGUCGCUCAUGGAUGGGGAUGCGUAGGAUUAGCUUGCCGGCGGGGUAACGGCCCACCGGGGCAACGAUCCUUAGGGGUUCUGAGAGGAAGGUCCCCCCACACUGGUACUGAGACACGGACCAGACUCCUACGGGAGGCAGCAGUGAGGAAUAUUGGUCAAUGGUCGUAAGACUGAACCAGCCAAGUAGCGUGCAGGACGACGGCCCUACGGGUUGUAAACUGCUUUUAUGCGGGGAUAAAGUUGGGAACGUGUUCCCUUUUGCAGGUACCGCAUGAAUAAGGACCGGCUAAUUCCGUGCC
rnacentral:rRNA from 1 species